rnacentral:lncRNA from 1 species
ACUUUUUAUAGCAUAUUUAGUAGCUCGAUUCGUUGAUUUAUUGUGUUCCUAAAUCUGAAUUGGAGCUUAGACUAUUAGUUAAAUUAUACAUGUUGGACUUGGAAUUGACUUAGCAGAAAACUAGCGAUUCUACACCGUUAUAUGCUAAAACUACCAGAUUUAGCUAUAGGAGCCGUAAUUUGUUUGUAUCACCGCAGUUUGUGGGCGAUGGAUACUUAGAUUAGUGUAGAAUGCAUUUACGCUCGUGUUGGGAUGCCGAGAUUAUUUUUAUAGCAGUGUUUAGGCUGUUCCGGACUGUCGGGUGCCGUUGAGGUUGACGGUGGACCGAGAUUGUUAUUUUUGCAUCAGAUUGUGUCGACGUCACGUGAGUUGCUUGUUAGACCCUGGUUACUUUGACUAUAGCCUGUGAGAGCCUGAUUGAGCUCGACAGAGAUACGCUUACAUACUCGGUUGGGUAACGCCCACGAAUGCCACUACGGAGUCGGGCUUCGUGCUGUUACGUUGGUGUCGUUGUGUCCUGGUUGAACUCGCUCUCCACUGACUACCCAGCGUGGUGGUUGUUAGUAUAGCUUCGACAGGCGGGACAGGUGUAUUCACAGUCCCUAGCGAGAUUGGGUCAGAGAUUGUAUUGUUUUACAGAUAGUUAGUGUUGGAUGAUGAUAGUACAGUGGCAUAUAGCUGUAGAUUGUUUUCAGUUUCUUUGCUAUCAUUGAGCAUACCUUCUAUAGACUUAGUGGUGAGUCGUUGAGGUUGGUAGCGGUACCCACUGAGGACUACUCCUUUUUGCAGUAGUUCUCACACCCAGUUGUGGAUCUUUUGC